GUACUGCUGAAGAGUGCCACAAUAGGACGAAACGCCCGUCCAGUAC
rfam:Schistosoma curassoni strain Dakar, Senegal genome assembly, scaffold: SCTD_scaffold0000175